rnacentral:rRNA from 1 species
GUCCUUUUGAUUAUAUUUGAAGGUUUGACCUGCCCGCUGAUUAUUUGAAUGGCCGCGGUAUUUUGACCGUGCAAAGGUAGCAUAAUAAUUAGUUUCUUGAUUGGAAGCUGGAAUGAAUGGUUGGACGAGAAAAUUUCUGUCUCUGGUAAAUUUUAAAUAAAAUUUUAUUUUUAAGUUAAAAAGCUUAAAUCUUUUUAAAAGACGAGAAGACCCUAUAGAGUUUAAUAUUAUUAAUUUGUUACAAAUUUAGGUAUUUAAGUUUUCUCUGGUUAUUAAUAUUUUAUUGGGGUGAUAAAAGGAUUGAGUUAACUCCUUUUUAAUUAAUACAUUAAUUUAUGAUUAUUUGAUCCAAUUUUUUUGAUUAUAAGAAUAAAUUACCUUAGGGAUAACAGCGUAAUCUUUUUAGAGAGUUCUUAUCGAAAUGAAGGGUUGCGACCUCGAUGUUGGAUUAAAGUUUAUUUUUGGUGUAGAAUCUAAAAUAUUGAGUCUGUUCGACUUUUAAAACUUUACAUGAUCUGAGUUUAAACCGGUGUGAGCCAGGUUGGUUUCUAUCUUUAUAAUAAGAAAAUAUUUUAGUACGAAAGGACCAGAUAUUUAAUAUAUUUAUUUUAUUUUUGAAUGUUAUUAAUGUUACUUUGGCAGAUUAGUGUGUUAGAUUUAGAAUCUUUUUAUGUAGAAAAAAUUUACAGGUAAUAUUUGUUUAUAUUUGAUUUAAUUUUAUUAUUUCUUAGAAUACUAAUUUUGAUUGUUUGUGUUCUUAUCGGGGUUGCUUUUUUUACUUUAUUCGAGCGUAAGGUUUUAGGGUAUAUUCAAAUUCGGAAAGG